AAGUCGUAACAAGGUCUCCGUAGGUGAACCUGCGGAGGGAUCAUUAACACGAAUACACUAAGAGAUCGUUAAACAUUUCUUAGUCGUUUCAAAACAACAACCAAACUCGUGAACUCGAAUUCCUAAUAGAAUUCAUUCCGCCCCUUUUGUAGACGUUAACAAAGAGAAAUUAUAUCGCUUGCGUGUUUAUACCUAUCAAUAAAUGUGAUGGUAUUAUAGAAAUAUAAUACUUAUUGAUAAUCAUAAACUGAUAUUCUUCUUUCGUUCUAUGAUCGGACCCAUACUUUUUUGCAUCACAAGAAAACCAUACAAACCUAUUUCACCCUAACCAUAUAAACAUUGACUGAUUUUUGUUUUUUUGGAAACUUAAAAACAUUAAACUCGAUAUCAUCGAAAACUAAAAGCACAACUCUUAGCAACGGAUAUCUUGGUUCUC
rnacentral:misc_RNA from 1 species